CAAGGGAACUGGGGAUAAUCCCNCAUAGGGGAGGAGUCCUGGAACGGUUCCUCCCUUAAAGGGGUAUGGGCUAUUUCCCGCUCAUACCCGCCCGAGGAUGGGGCUGCGGCCCAUCAGGCUGUUGGCGGGGUAACGGCCCGCCAAACCUAUAACGGGUAGGGGCCGUGGGAGCGGGAGCCCCCAGUUGGGCACUGAGACAAGGGCCCAGGCCCUACGGGGCGCACCAGGCGGGAAACGUCCCCAAUGCGCGAAAGCGUGAGGGCGCUACCCCGAGUGCCCCCGUAAGGGGGCUUUUCCCCGCUCUAAAAAGGCGGGGGAAUAAGCGGGGGGCAAGUCUGGUGUCAGCCGCCGCGGUAACACCAGCUCCGCGAGUGGUCGGGACGCUUACUGGGCCUAAAGCGCCUGUAGCCGGCCCACUAAGUCGCCCCUUAAAGACCCGGGCUCAACCCGGGAAAUGGGGGCGAUACUGGUGGGCUAGGGGGCGGGAGAGGCUAGGGGUACUCCCAGAGGAGGGGCGAAAUCCGUAGAUCCUGGGAGGACCACCAGUGGCGGAGGCGCCUAGCUAGAACGCGCCCGACGGUGAGAGGCGAAAGCCGGGGCAGCAAAUGGGAUUAGAUACCCCAGUAGUCCCGGCUGUAAACGAUGCGGGCUAGGUGUCAGGUGGGCUUAGAGCUCACCUGGUGCCGCANGGAAAGCCGUUAAGCCCGCCGCCUGGGGAGUACGGUCGCAAGACUGAACUUAANGAAUUGGCGGGGACACCACAAGGGUGGAACUGCGCUCAUUGAAUCACGCUGGAUCUACNGGGANACNCAGANACGCAGCUACACUGCUAUCCGAAGAGUCUGCUCCAUCUUUUNAUUCUGUAUAGACACAACCNCCUAUGUCCUUCGNGGCCAUAGAUCCUUNGAAAAGCGAUNUCACGCCGUAGGAGUNCAGACCCCUAGAC
rnacentral:rRNA from 1 species